AGCGAACGCUGGCGGCAGGCCUAACACAUGCAAGUCGAACGAACCUUUCGGGGUUAGUGGCGGACGGGUGAGUAACACGUGGGAACGUGCCUUUAGGUUCGGAAUAACUCAAGGAAACUUGUGCUAAUACCGAAUGUGCCCUUCGGGGGAAAGAUUUAUCGCCUUUAGAGCGGCCCGCGUCUGAUUAGCUAGUUGGUUGAGGUAAUGGCUCACCAAGGCGACGAUCAGUAGCUGGUCUGAGAGGAUGAUCAGCCACAUUGGGACUGAGACACGGCCCAAACUCCUACGGGAGGCAGCAGUGGGGAAUCUUGCGCAAUGGGCGAAAGCCUGACGCAGCCAUGCCGCGUGAAUGAUGAAGGUCUUAGGAUUGUAAAAUUCUUUCACCGGGGACGAUAAUGACGGUACCCGGAGAAGAAGCCCCGGCUAACUUCGUG
rnacentral:rRNA from 1 species